rnacentral:rRNA from 1 species
AGAGUGAACGCUGGCGGUAGGCCUAACACAUGCAAGUCGAACGGCAGCACAGUAGGAGCUUGCUCUUACGGGUGGCGAGUGGCGGACGGGUGAGGAAUACAUCGGAAUCUACCUUUUGGUGGGGGGAUAACGUAGGGAAACUUACGCUAAUACCGCAUACGCCCUUCGGGGGAAAGCCGGGGACCAGCAAUGGCCUGGCGCUGAUAGAUGAGCCGAUGUCGGAUUAGCUAGUUGGUGAGGUAAUGGCUCACCAAGGCGACGAUCCGUAGCUGGUCUGAGAGGAUGAUCAGCCACACUGGAACUGAGACACGGUCCAGACUCCUACGGGAGGCAGCAGUGGGGAAUAUUGGACAAUGGGCGCAAGCCUGAUCCAGCCAUACCGCGGUGGUGAACGAAGGCCUUCGGGUUGUAAAAGGUCCCCUUUUAGGUUGGGUAAAAGAAAAGCGUAAUUCGGUUAAAGUUACCCGGUUGUUCGUACGACGGUAACCCAAAAGGAACUUAA